rnacentral:rRNA from 1 species
GAUGAACGCUAGCGAUAGGCUUAACACAUGCAAGUCGAGGGGCAGCAUGGUCUUAGCUUGCUAAGACUGAUGGCGACCGGCGCACGGGUGCGUAACGCGUAUGCAACUUGCCUCACAGAGGGGGAUAACCCGUCGAAAGACGGACUAAUACCGCGUACACUCUAUUUUGGGCAUCCAAGGUAGAGGAAAUGAAAUUCGCUGUGAGAUAGGCAUGCGUCCCAUUAGCUAGUUGGUGAGGUAACGGCUCACCAAGGCGACGAUGGGUAGGGGAACUGAGAGGUUGAACCCCCACGCUGGUACUGAGACACGGACCAGACUCCUACGGGAGGAAGCAGUGAGGAAUAUUGGUCAAUGGGCGAGGGCCUGAACCAGCCAAGUCGCGUGAAGGAUGACUGUCUUAUGGAUUGUAAACUUCUUUUGUAGGGGAAUAAAGAGGGGCACGUGUGCCCCAGUGAAUGUACCCUACGAAUAAGCAUCGGCUAACUCCGUG